rnacentral:lncRNA from 1 species
AUGCAGUGCUGAGAGUCAAACCCAGUGUCUCACACAUGCUAGGCAAGCGCUCUACCACUGAGUCACAACUUCAGCCCUGUAUCCUUUGUCUUAACAAACUUUGAAGAGCUGGCUAAAUGAAGCUGGCCAUAUCCCCACAAUAGCAAAGAGCCUGCCAUGUCUUUCUGACCCUCUAAAUUCUCCAUUCUUUCUGCUAUUGUUCUCUGAAAAAAUUCUGUAAGAAACCCCACUCAAUGGGUGUAAGGUGAAGGGGGAAAUACCUGCUUUUCUUUCAUCCUAAUGAGGGGGGCACAGGAUGCACAGCAAGGUGUUCUCUGAAGAAUACUGCAUCACAAAUGCACUCUCAGUUUCCACAAUCUGACCUUUAUCGUUUUCAAGAACCACCUAACCAGUGGAAAAUUUUGUCUCAAAAUUUCUGCUUCGUGGUCUGGCACUUCACUCUGAAUAUCAUACCUGUUGCAUUGGCGUGCUUAGGCCAAAAAAAAAAAAAAAAGAAAAAUUUUGUACCAGGGAUUGAACCUAAGGGCACUUAACCACUGAGUCAUAUCCUCAGCCCUUUUAUUUUUCAUUUUGACAGAGUCUCACUAGGUUGCUUACAACCUCACUAAGUUACUGAGGCUAGCUUCGAACCAACAAUCCUCCUACCUGUUACAGUUCUUAUAGCUUUAGGUUUCAAAUAGCCAGACUUCUCAAAGACAAGUUUAACAAGAGAAGAUUAGCACAGCUUCCCAAUAUGUUACAUUUUUACUUUUGAGGGUUUUGUUUUGUUUUGUUUUUGUUUUUGAGACAAGGUUUCAUUGUAUUGCCCAAGUUGGUCUCAAACUCUGGACCAAAGGAUCCUCACACCUCAGCCUCCUGAGGAGCUGGAACUACAGGCAAAUACCACCAUACCUGACAUAAAUAAUAUUUUUUAAAUUAGAACAGGAAGUAAACAAGCUUAUCAUAAUAAUCACAACAUAGUCACUAAUAUACAAAGUAAAAUUUGAUAUUUCUCUCUGCUCUAUAAACUUUAUCAAUACUUUCUUUUAAUUCCUACAUUCUCUUUCCCACUCCAUCAGGAAUUCCUUUAGACAUAAGAAACUCUCUUCUACCAAGCCCUGAAUUCUUUAUCUCAGAGGAAAAAAUAUCUUUCAGAAUAUAUAUUUGAUCAACCUCUUUAAAAACAAAUGCCACUUUUAAAACAAGUGUCCUUCUAGAUAUAUGUGUAGCUACUUCAAUUUAUACAAUAAUUCCAAUGACUACUUUAUACAGCUUGAUACUGAGUUCAAUUUCUGCAUAUUUUAACUUCCUUGGCUCCAAAGACUUGUUUUCCUUCUAAGUGGAUGAGCAGAAAGAAGGGAAAUGUAAGCAUUAAACAUACUGUGUCCCUGUCAUGAUUCCCUUCUUACUCCUCCUCCCAUCAGAAUAAGAUAUUUGUUUUUUGGUUUUUUGUUUGUUUGUUUUUGUUUUGUUGCCUUUACUUACCAUCAAAAUUCUGCCUUUUGGGGGCUAUUACUUCAAAGUCUUGCCCUUCUCUCUUGGUCAAAGCAUACUAUAUAAUUUUCCUUUGGUCACAGUAGUUUAAUAGUACCUAUUUCCAUUCAUUCAUUGAACAAAUAUUUAUUGAGUCCUUCUUAGGUAAAAGUUAUUGUUUUAGUUAUUGGGGAUGCAACAGUUAACAUUGACAAAAGAAGUCCAAGCCUUCACAGAUACUGUGGAAAGCACCAGCAAUUAACAAGUAGACAGAUAUAAUAAUGUAAUAUCAAGGGGCAAUCAAAGCAAUGAAGAAAACCAAAACAGUGUAAAAAAAAGUGUCAUUUUAGACAUGGUAAUCUGGAAGAUAGUCAGGAAAUGAGGCUCAGUACAAAUGGCCUGAGAUGACAGAGCCUUGGCGUGCUCUGGGAAGAGCAGGACAGCCAGUGCAGCUUGGAGCCAAGGAUAAAAGGGAAAGUGGUAGGAGUUAAGUUGCGGGGAAUAGCUAAAGACCACGAUGAUUGGGGAACCUAGAAAGAUUUUCUUCUAAGUUGAUGGAAAGCCAUUUUGUGUAGCGGAGUUGUGAGAUCAGUUCCAUACUUUAAAAAGAACAUCUGUUUCCAGUGUUGAGGAUUAAUGUAGAGAAGCAAGAGUAGGAGCAAGGAGACUAAUUAGAAAACUAGUAUAAAAGACCAGGUAAAAGAGGAUGGUGCCUUGAAAUAAAGUGGUAAUGGGGGAGAACUAGUAACAAAGGAUCAGAUUCUGGAUGUAUUUUGAAGAUCGAGUCAAUAGGAUUUUUUAAUAACCUGAGAUCUAAAAUAUAGUCAGAGAUUUUAAGAGCUUUAGCCUAAGCAACUAGGUAUAUGGUGGGAACAUUAGGGAAGGAGCAGAGUGAACUAGGAAACAGACAUAAUCUAAAGUUCAGUUUCACACUUUAAUUUGGCAAUGAUUAGACAUCCAAGUGAAGACUUUGACUAGAAAAUUAAAUAUAUGAUCUUGGGUUUAGAUCCAAGAUUGUGAGAGAAAUUUAAGACUCAAACAUUUAUAUAGUUUUCUUUAUUUAAAUAAAAAAAAUCUUAAAAAUUACAGAAAUGUUGAAACAAGAAUCUUUUCCUUAAUCAUUUGAGAAAAAUUACCAAGUUUGAUCUAAUAAUAACACAGUGAGAAUGCCCAUCACCCCCUGAUGCACCCCACAAGAAAGGACAUUUCGCUUCUCUCUCUCUCUCUCUCUCUCUCUCUCUCUCUCUCUCUCUCUCUCACACACACACACACACACACACACACACUAUACACUAUCAAAAUCUAGAGGGGCUGGGGAUAUGGCUCAUCUAGCAUGCGUGAGGCACUGGGUUCAAUCCUCAGCACCACAUAAAAAUAAAAUAAAGAUAUUGUGUCCACCUAAAGCUAGAAAAUAAAUAUUUUUUAAAAAAUCUAGAAAUUAAGAGUAGUCUAUUAAUACCAUCUAAUUCUCAGAACUUACUCAAAUUGCAGUGCCCUUUCUGUCAGAAUGACUCAGUCGAGAAGCACGUGUGCCUUCACUUUCUGUGUCUCUUUAGUCUCCUUCAGGAACAGUUUUCUUGGCCUUGGAUUUUUGUGAUCUUGCCAUUUUGAAAGAUCGGAAGUCAUUUAUUUGAAAUACAUUCUCUAAUUUAUAUUUCUUUUGUGUUUCAUCAUGAUUAGAUUCAGAUUGAACAU